rnacentral:misc_RNA from 1 species
GAUGAAGAACGUAGCGAAAUGCGAUAAGUAAUGUGAAUUGCAGAAUUCAGUGAAUCAUCGAAUCUUUGAACGCACAUUGCGCCCCUUGGUAUUCCGAGGGGCAUGCCUGUUCGAGCGUCAUAUUAACCACUCCCGCUUGCGGGGUCUUGGGCUUCGCCUCCGGGCGGGCCUUAAAAUCAGUGGCGGUGCCGUCGGGCUCUACGCGUAGUAAAUUUUCUCGCGAUAGGGUCCCGGUGGAUGCUUGCCAACAACCCCCAACUUCUUAAGGUUGACCUCGGAUCAGGUAGGGAUACCCGCUGAACUUAAGCAUAUCAAUAAGCGGGGA